ensembl:lncRNA
GUAUAUAAGACUUACUCAAAGCCAUAUACACAGGCCUUAUCCAAAGCCAUAUACAGGCCUUACCCAAAGCCAUAUACACAGGCCUUACCCAAAGCCAUAUACACAGGCCUUACCCAAAGCCAUAUACACAGGCCUUACCCAAAGCCAUACACAGGCAUUACCCAAAGCCAUACACAGGCCUUACCCAAAGCCAUACACAGGCCUUACCCAAAGCCAUACACAGGCCUUACCCAAAGCCAUACACAGGCCUUACCCAAAGCCAUACACAGGCCUUACCCAAAGCCAUACACAGGCCUUACCCAAAGCCAUACACAGGCCUUACCCAAAGCCAUAUACACAGGCCUUACCCAAAGCCAUACACAUGCCUUACCCAAAGCCAUACACAGGCCUUACCCAAAGCCAUAUACACAGGCCUUACCCAAAGCCAUACACAGGCCUUACCCAAAGCCAUAUACACAGGCCUUACCCAAAGCCAUACACAUGCCUUACCCAAAGCCAUACACAGGCCUUACCCAAAGCCAUAUACACAGGCCUUACCCAAAGCCAUAUACACAGGCCUUACCCAAAGCCGUAUAUAAGACUUACUCAAAGCCAUAUACACAGGCCUUACCCAAAGCCGUAUAUAAGACUUACUCAAAGCCAUAUACACAGGCCUUACUCAAAGCCGUAUAUAAGACUUACUCAAAGCCAUAUACACAGGCCUUAUCCAAAGCCAUAUACAGGCCUUACCCAAAGCCAUAUACAGGCAUUACCCAAAGCCAUAUACAGGCCUUACCCAAAGCCAUAUACAGGCAUUACCCAAAGCCACACACAGACCUUACCCAAAGCCAUAUACACAGGACUUACUCAAAGCCAUAUACAGGCCUUACACA